AGGUUAACGUCGUGGCAGCAGCGGAGUGAGGACGGAGGGUGAAAGGGGAACUGGGAAUGACUAGGGGUAAAGGGACGGGAGGCGGUUUGGUAAGUCUUUGUGGAAAGGUCGUGGCUUAACUGGGAGAGGUCAAGGGAAACUACCGGGCUAGAGUGUGGUAGGGGAUACUGGAAUUCCUGGUGUAGCGGUGAAAUGCGUAGAUAUCAGGAGGAAUACCUAUGGCGAAAGCAGGUAUCUGGGCCAUCACUGACGCUGAGCUGCGAAAGCUAGGGGAGCAAACAGGAUUAGAUACCCCUAGUC
rnacentral:rRNA from 1 species